AUCCCACCCAGUUCUUCACCCUUAUAAAUAAUCCCCUGUUUCUUUGCAUCAAUGCCCCUGCAAUCCCAAGAGUUCACAAAUUCUCCCCUGUUUUUUUCUCAAAAUCACUUUUUUUUACCACAGAUAAUUUGAAGAUGAAUCGAAGAAACAGUAGAGAAGGAGGUGCACCGAAGCUGGAGCUGAAACUGAACCUGUCGCCGCCGAGAGGAGGAGGUAACAGAGGAGUGGAAUCGCCGAACCGGUCAGCCACCGUGUCGCCGACGUCUCCGCCGAGCUCAUGUGUGUCGUCGGAGGCGGCGAGAUCGUAUUCCAACAGCCCUGAAGCGGCGACGAUGAUGCUUGUGGGAUGUCCACGUUGCUUGAUGUACGUGAUGCUGUCGGAACAAGACCCGAAAUGUCCGAAAUGCAAAAGCACUGUCCUUCUCGAUGUUCUCCAUGAUAACACCGCCGUUAAAACCAGGCAAUCCUAGAGAGAGAAACAGACAGACAACAAACAUGGAGGUCUAGAGAGAGAAAACGAGUUCCACAUAGUUUUUUUUUUUCUUUUUCUUUUAAAUGCAUUUGUCUCUGUUGGGUUUUUAUUUAUUUUUUUUUUUGGGAAUUUUUAGAUUUUCUUAAAUAGGAAAUUAGAAGGGAAGAAGAGGAUUUUAGAGAGAGAAAGAGAGAGGGAUAGUUUCGGGAUAACGACAGAAUUUUCUCUCCCUUCUUUUAGCACAAGGACUGUGUAAACCAGCGGUUAACUGCAAGUACCAAAUGUUUUCUUUUUA